GUAAAGCAAUAAUACUUCAAUAAAGAUGUUAAAAAAAAAGGUGGUGUGUCUACGCAUCUAGUACAGUUUGAACACAUAUUAACUGAAUGCAUUGAUGCAUGAAUUGAUGAAAAAGUGACUGAAAAUUGAAUAAAUGAAUGUGUGAAUGGUACAGAUUUCAGGGUAUACAUGGAAAAAUAUAUCCUAAAUUAAUACAAACAAUUUGGAGUCUACUGAGGAUAAGAUCGGUAGAAUUCUUAAAAGCCAAGGCUCUUGAUACUUAAAUUAUCCUUUAAUGUCUACAGGGCAAAAAAGUGGGUCUAGCAAGAAUAGCCAGAAAUGGGCUCUUUUAGUUCCACAGGACUCUGUUGAGUCCUGUGUGUUUAGGAAUUUAAGAUCAGCAUGAAGUUAUGGUGACAACCUGUCCACACAAUGUCCCCCUUUCCUUCUAAUCAAGGAGGGGUCAUGACCUCAUUCUUAGGGAAGUGGACUCUCCUCCAAAGCAUUUGAGGACCACUUCUUUCACAGAUUAAAUGAAAUGCAAAAUGGGUCCAGGGCAAAACAAGUCUUACUAAUAGAGCAUGCAUGAUUCCUGGGGGGAAAAGUCAUUGCUAAGUUGUAUAUGUAUUUUUUUUUCUGAACCUUUGAAAAGAUCAACUCUGGUUUCAGUUUAAUUUUUUUUUUUUCAAAAGAAACCUACAUGGCCACUGCUUCAAAUUUGUUCCAGAUGGAUUUAGUCAUAGAAUGAUUGAUUAUCCACUCAGUUGCGAGCUAUGUGGUUAAGCUCAGAAAUCUACAACAAACUGAUCUGGAGCUGUGUUUCACGGCAGGUCUGGACAUUCAUGGAUGGACUUUACCUAAGGUGAGGCUCACCUGUGGAAGUGACAGUGGCAGGCCCCAGCGAAUGGGAAUCCCAGGCAGAAUUCAAACACUGCCUCUGAGCAACAGUGACUCUCCAUGGCAAGUGGCAGAUGACGGAAGAAGGAAUUGUAUGUAUAGCAGCUAGUAUGGAUCUACACUUGUCACGUAAGUGCUCCAUGAAUGUGACUUUGCUUCUCUCCUCAGGUGAGUGGUGGCCCAUCUACCUGCCAAGGGACAACUGUGCUAGAAUGGGUAGGAAUUAAAACUGGAGUCAGUGGUUUCUCACCUUGGCCUGUGGUCCUCUGUAGGCAGGCAGGGUUCGGAGAGGGGUGGAGGAAAGGUUUGCAGAGUCAUCUGCAAAAGAUUUAAAAUGUAUAUGUGCAUCAAACAUUGCACAUAGAUGAAUUAAACACAAUCUCUUGCACAUAGUUCCUUCUCACUCUCAGAUAUCUAUUUGCACAUUAUUGUGGUAAACAUAUACAUGUUUAUCUAUAAUCACUACAAAAUGAAUUGUAGUUUUUUGCCAUCCUUUGUUUUCUCAGCUGCUAUCAAGUGAUGUCUAAGAAAUGUUUUGAAUAGAAAAGGUUUUUUCCUUCUGUUGAAAAACAGUGGGAACUGCCGUUCUAUAGCAUUGCUUAAGGUAAGGCUUCCCAGGUGUAGUCCUAAGACCUGUCGUACCUGUUUAAAGUGCAGUUGCCCAGCUCCACCCCUCACAGUCUGGAUUAGAAUCUCCCAGGCUAGGAAUUGGAAAUCUGCUUUCUAACAAAUGUCCUGAUGUCAAUUUUCCCAUGCAUUGAGAACGCCGGGCUUAAGAUAGUCUGAAAAUACGUUGACAGAAUCAGGAAUCAGGUUCAGGAGGUUAAAGCUUUGUUUUCUUCAAGUUUUACCUGAAGAUGGAAUAUUAUUUCUUUCUCGUUUAAAUCCUUGCAUACUAUCCAAAAACUGGCUAGAAUAUCUAUCAAUCAUGUCAGAUAGUCUAAUGACAAUUUUAAAGCACCGUAUCCCUGCUGGAACUCUAAAACCAAAGACAAAUGGUUUUGGAUCAUCUAUAGAUGAGACUUAGUCUCACAACUAUUUGCCUUCAUCGGUGUGCACUGAAAUACAAUGUGAAUUAAAUUACAGCGGGCAGGGGAGCUGGACUCCAGAUCUGAAAUCAUUAGCAGCUCCUGAGAGCACCCACCUGAUUUGUGUGUAUUUAAAUAUAAUCUUCAAUACAAUUAGGAAACCUUUACCACCAUCUGUGUUGUCAUAGCAAAGUGCAGGGGCAGCAAAUAUCUGGUCUACGUUUUGACAUCCUCCCCACCCCCACCAGUUUGCAUGGCAGCUAGACAUUUCUAAUCAAUUCUAGCAAUCCUUCCCCUUAAGUCAGGAUAUUUAUGCCUCAGAAUCCUUUUCCCCAGGCAGCUGUCAGCAGAUGGGAUGAUGGAGGAUGAAACCUAUUUGCUACGUCCGGGAUGGUGAAGGGCAUGGGCUUUGCAGUCGUGGGUUUAGGGGGUUCAAAUCCCAGUUUUGCCACUUACAGGUUGUGAGACAGAGCAAGAUACUUACAAAAUUUAGGUACUCUUGCAGCCUCAUUCUCCUUAUUUGCACAAGUGGGAUUACAGCCCCAUUUCACAGGAUUAUUGUGAAGGUGACAGAAAGAAUGCAUGUAAAUUGCUUAGUAUUCCUAGCACAUAGCGAGUACUCAAUAAAUUUUAGGUGUUGUUAUUUUUAAUCUAGCUUGAAAUGAUGUGAUGGGCGCAAGGAGAAAGGGACUCAUUUUGCGGGACUGCUUGAGUUCUAUAAAGCAGGUGUGGAAGAUUUUAUUAGCAGAGUGCUUCCUUACUGCAACCCUCUCUCUGGGAUUAUGGCCCACAUUUACUGAGGGCUUAACAAUUACAGAAAGUGUUCUAAGUACUUUUUGAGGAGUAACUAAUUUAAUCCUCACAAGAGCCCAGUGAAGUAGAUGUUCUUAUCCCCAGUUUAUAGAGGCAGCACCUGAGGCAUAAAGAGGUUAAGUAACUCAUAAGGGACAUGCCGUUUGAAAUGGGGACUCCGGCCAGCAGCCGCACUUGGAACUUGUGAAAAGGCAGAUUCUCAGGCCCUACCCCUGACUCCCUGCAUCAGAACUCUGUGGGUGGGCCCAGAAAUCUUUGUUUGAACAAGCCCUCCAGGCGAUUCUGAGGCACAUCAAGCUUUCAGAACCACAAUCCAGAAGGCAAAGGAGCAUUGGCAGGACAAGAAGUCGAUCAGGAGUGAGGUGAGCUGAUGAAGAAGCAUGUCCCCAUUAAGGAAGGGUGAGUGUCUUUUCAGAACUUUGAUUCCUAGCUGUACCUUCCAGUAUUCAUCCGGGAAUUCUGUGUGUUUUUUCCUGUUUAUGAGGAAAAUUGGUUUACUUGUUCUAUUGUUUUUUGUUUUUUUUUUUACUUUGUGUUACAAGUUCCACUAGAACAAAUAAGAAACCCCUUGUCUGUCUAGCACCUGCCAGAGAAGUAACCCUCAUCAGUGGAGGGAGGGGAUCAAAUGCCUAGCAUGGUGGAAACUUACCAGCUCCCAAGGUCUGGGCAGUGGAUCUGAAACUUCAGAGUCCCUACGAAUCAGCUGGAGCCUUUGUUAAAAUGAAGAUUCUCAGGUCCUGCUCUCCCCUAUUCUGAUUCAGUAGGUCUGAGGUAGAGCCCAGGAAUCUGCAUUUUAAUAAGCAUCUAGUCCAUAUGCCUCACCUUGAGAAAUAGAAGUUUGCUGGUGGUAACAGGGGUGUCAGACCAUGUCAUAUCCAGCCUUUGGAUGACAGAGGAGUUGGGGUGGGAGUAGUGAACCAAUGUCCAGACUAGGAGAGUGAGACAGUAGUACAAGAGCCAGGGCAACAAGAUAGCAAUCUAUAUCCUCACACUGUUCCUCCCCUCCUCUAUCCCUUUCCCACUGCCUUCUCUUCCAAAAGGUGUUUCUGAAGGUUCUCUGAGAAGGACAAUUUAUUAUACAUAAAACAGCUUUCAGCAAAGCUCAGCCAGUUGUGAGGAGGGGAUCUGGAGGGCUCCAAGCUGACCUCUCCUCCACUUCACCCCUUGAGGAAGCUCGUGAGGUAGGGCCAUAGACACUUUAAACUUCCCUCAGGAUUAGUUUGAAAAUAGCCUUAAUCUAACCCCCAUUUUACUGAUGAAGAAACUGAGGCCUAGAGAGGUGAAGAGACUUGUGUAAGGCUGGCUGGAGGCAUCACUAGAUGAUU